rnacentral:rRNA from 1 species
CAGCCGCCGCGGUAACACGUAGGGGGCAAGCGUUAUCCGGAAUAACUGGGCGUAAAGGGUGCGCAGGCGGUUUAACAAGUUAGUGGUGAAAGGCAUAGGCUCAACCAAUGUAAGCCAUUAAAACUGUUUAACUUGAGUGUAGGAGAGGAAAGUGGAAUUCCUAGUGUAGCGGUGAAAUGCGUAGAUAUUAGGAGGAAUACCAGUGGCGAAGGCGACUUUCUGGACUGCAACUGACACUGAGGCACGAAAGCGUGGGGAGCAAACAGGAUUAGAUACCCGCGUAGUCCCUGUCUCUUAUACA